rnacentral:lncRNA from 1 species
CUAUGCACAGAUAAUCAAAUAAAUCUUUGUCUUGCUACCUGCAGUCGGGAUGCCCUGAGAAGUUUCACAGGUCACAGCACAGAUCAAAUUAAGGCCCAGAGUCAUGGGUGGGAUGGACAGCCCCAGCCUGACUCUCCGGGGCCACACGGACACACACACAGCCAGUUCUCCAGGCCAGGCUGCAGCUCUGGGGGACACAUCAAUCAUUGAUUCCAGUACCCAGCUUCUUGCAGUAGAAAUCAAUUCCAAGGAAGAAAGGACGUGAUUGGGAGCCUGUUGUGGAAGGAAGGCCACACCUCAACCAGACGGUCAAUCCUGAGGAAUAACCACUCUCCGACCUCCACCUGCAUUACAGAGGGAUAAACUGAGGCUCAGAGGGGAACAGUAAUUUUCUCAAGGUGGCAGAGGCAGGUGGAUGCAGAACCUUGGCCUCUGCGAUCUGACCACCAACACAUCAGAGGAAAACCUGCCUGAGAGUGAAACCAGCACAGAAGCAGCAGAACUGAGAAAGGAAGAGACACUUUGUUUAUGAAUCUGUCCAAAGGAAUCCCUUGAACUUUCCAACCAAAUAAACCAGUAGAUUCUGUUUUCUUUUAUGUGAGUUUGGG